rnacentral:rRNA from 1 species
CUGGAGGCAGUAGUAAGGAAUUUUGGACAAUGGGCGCAAGCCUGAUCCAGCAAUGCCGCGUGCAGGACGAAGGCCAUCGGGUUGUAAACUGCUUUUGUACGGAACGAAACGGCCUCUUCUAAUAAAGGGGGCUAAUGACGGUACCGUAAGAAUAAGCACCGGCUAACUACGUGCCAGCAGCCGCGGUAAUACGUAGGGUGCAAGCGUUAAUCGGAAUUACUGGGCGUAAAGCGUGCGCAGGCGGUUAUAUAAGACAGAUGUGAAAUCCCCGGGCUCAACCUGGGACCUGCAUUUGUGACUGUAUAGCUAGAGUACGGUAGAGGGGGAUGGAAUUCCGCGUGUAGCAGUGAAAUGCGUAGAUAUGCGGAGGAACACCGAUGGCGAAGGCAAUCCCCUGGACCUGUACUGACGCUCAUGCACGAAAGCGUGGGGAGCAAACAGGAUUAGAUACCCCGGUAGU